CCGUCGGGAAUUGUUGCUCCUCGCCGCUCCGCGCCAAGUUCCAGCGCGCGGCGCGUCCCCCGUGAGCGGCCGCCGGGAUGGGGGCGGUGGCCGGGCGGGCCGGACCGCGGAGGCUGCUGCUGCCGCUGGCGCUGGCCGUGGCGUGCGCGGCGCGCAGCGCCGACGGACCCAGCAACAUGUCCUACGUGAAGGAGACGGUGGACAGGCUGCUCCAGGGCUACGACAUCCGCCUCCGCCCCGACUUCGGAGGUCCGCCCGUGGACGUGGGCAUGCGGAUAGAGAUCGCCAGCAUCGACGUGGUCUCGGAAGUCAACAUGGACUACACCCUGACCAUGUACUUUCAACAAUCCUGGAGGGAUAAAAGGCUCUCCUAUUCUGGAAUACCUUUGAACCUAACUCUGGACAACAGAGUGGCUGACCAGCUCUGGGUGCCGGACACAUAUUUCCAGAAUGACAAGAAAUCAUUUGUCCAUGGGGUGACAGUGAAAAACCGAAUGAUUCGACUCCAUCCAGAUGGGACAGUCCUUUAUGGCCUACGGUUGAGCUGGUGUGCCAUGUUUUCUCCGGGGACAAGGCAGCUCUUUAGAUGCAUCUGGAUCACAACAACAGCUGCUUGCAUGAUGGACCUACGCAGAUAUCCUCUGGAUGAACAAAACUGCACACUAGAAAUUGAAAGUUAUGGAUACACUACUGAUGAUAUUGAAUUUUACUGGAAUGGAGGAGAGUCGGCAGUAACAGGAGUUAAUAACAUUGAGCUCCCGCAAUUUUCUAUCGUUGAUUACAAGAUGGUAUCAAAGAGAGUGGAAUUUACAACAGGAGCAUAUCCUCGAUUAUCACUUAGCUUCCGGCUUAAAAGAAAUAUUGGAUACUUCAUUUUGCAAACUUAUAUGCCUUCCACACUAAUCACAAUUCUUUCAUGGGUAUCUUUUUGGAUCAAUUAUGAUGCCUCUGCAGCCAGAGUUGCUCUAGGAAUCACAACUGUGCUGACCAUGACCACCAUCAGCACCCACCUCAGGGAGACCUUGCCAAAGAUUCCCUAUGUCAAGGCAAUAGAUAUUUACCUGAUGGGAUGCUUUGUGUUUGUGUUCCUGGCCUUGCUGGAAUAUGCCUUUGUAAACUACAUAUUCUUUGGGAAAGGACCUCAACAUCAAAAAAAGACAGCAGGCAGGGCAGGACGUGCUCCAGGCGAGAAGAGCAGACUGGAAACAAAUAGAGUCCAGGAAGAAUGUACAUGGCUGAAGAAGUGGGACACAGUAAGGUUAUGUGAAAACAGCUUUGAGCUCCUCUCCAUUAUGUUUUGAGAUUUUUCACUGGUAUUAUGAUGUCUGUACCAGAGCAGGCGAAAGUUUUUUUGGAGCAUAAAAGUACAGUUGUGAAGAUAUUAAUCAUUCCCAUCUGACAUGCAACUCCCAUGAGUAAAAGAGUUCAAAUUCCUUCACCAGAUAACAAAAGCAUUAGAUGUGUGAGCAACACUCAACAAACUGACCACGAUAUUAACAAUAUAGAGAAGACCAGAUGAACAAUGAAACUGAACUGCUGUUUCCUAUGUGGCUGUUCCUUUCUCUACAGACUGAAGAAGGUGGAAAUAGUGUCUUUCCAGUUUCACAAUUUAUGCCAUUUUAAUUUCUAAUAUGCAAAAAAUAUUAAUUUGUAGUAAAUAAUAUUUCUGUUUUUCUGAAUAAAGCAUAAAGACUGUUUAUAUGUCCUUGCUCAUUUGUUGAAGCUAGAUGUCAUUGAGGAGACCACUGUAAUUAUGGAUAAAUAGUACAAAAGCACCCUGCAAGAAAAUAUUUUGAUAGUCCAUGCAUACAACUGCUUCUGUUUUCCCAGAUAAUGAUAGUGUGAAUGUUACAGAGAAGAUUUCUCUUAAAUAUGAGAAAAAGGUAGAAUGAAAUCAUACUGUGAGUGGGGAAGGGGCUGAGCCAUCAUAAGGUUCAUAAAUGACAACACAAGGCAAGUGAUAGAUGGUCCCUCGCUCCUCGAGUCUGCACAGCAUCACACCUUCCUUUCAAACCUUCUGUGAACCACAAAGCACCCAGAAUAGAAAGCCAAAGGCCAGCCACAGGUUCUGAAGAAAACAUGAUUCUCCAAUAGAGUGGCUACUGGAAGGAGAAAAAAAAGGGGAAUAAAUAACCACACAACUAGCUCAAACAUCAAGUAAAUCCCCACCUGAGUAAGUAUAGCCCUGCUGAGUGUAACCUGUUUCUUUGCAGAUCAGAUUGUGAUAACACUACUGCAUUUGUUCCAACAAGACAGCUUGUAUGAGUAACACGGCCCUGAAUCUUUCAUCUUAAGAGGAAGAUGGGUUUGUAUUGAGAUAAAACAGAAGUUCUUACCUUUUAUCUCCCAACAGUUAAGGUAAAAAAAAAUAGGUAGGUAAAAACUCAUUCCAGAUAGCCUUUAACAUUUGAGACCCAUUCUUUUUCAAGGAAUGCCAAUAUGCUAUUCUUCCCCUAGAGCUGACUGAUUAUUUUUUAUGUGGUCAACACAGGACUGUUGUUUUGGGUGGUUUUCUUUUUAUUACUUUACUGUUUUACACUUAAAAUAUAAUUUGAUGGCCCUAAGCAGAAAACUCAUUUUCUAAGUAAACAUACAAGCAAAAUUAUUACUUUUUUUUUUAUGAUGUUUCCUCAGCACACAUCAUACACUUAAGAAAAUUCAUAUAUAUGUACCUGUGCUGAUUUAGGCUUUAGGUAGUUCCACUGCAGAAGGAAAAUUAAAAAUUUAUAUCCUCAGUUUAGAUACACUCUCAAUACAGAUACAAAUGUUCUUACAAGAAGCAUCACCAUAUACAUUCACCUGAAGAAUACAUAAACUUCGAUAAUUACACCAGAUGACUAACACAGCAUCAGCUUUAGAUCCUUUGACAUGUUCCUCACAUAUUUGUCAUUAUAUGUUCAAAAGAC